rnacentral:tRNA from 1 species
GCUGGGUAGUUUAGUGGUACAGUACUUGCUCAGGAUGAAUGAGACCUGGGUUCAAUCCCCAGCAUCA